rnacentral:misc_RNA from 1 species
UAGAGUUUUAUAACUCCCAACCCUUUGUGAACUUACCUUUGUUGCCUCGGCGGGGCCUACCCGGUACCGACCCCUUUGGGGCGAAGUUACCCUGUAGCCCGCCGGUGGAUUUUCAAACUCUUGUUAUUUUAAUGUUAUCUGAGUAAAACAUUCUAAAUGAAUCA